rnacentral:rRNA from 1 species
AUGUUUAAACAUAGAAAUGGAAACUCCUUGGAAUCGCUGAAGACAACAAACAGAAAAUAUUUCUAUACAAUCAAAUUCUACCGGGAGACAGUUGUAAAUCAAUGUAUUGACCAGCCAAACACAUUUUGCAAAUUCGACAAUGCCACUCAGAUUUUCACCAUACUUUCGGUUCAGAUGGAUGCAAGAAACCGUAGCACCCUUCUAGGCCAGAGCCUGUACAAAACUGCAACGGUCCAUGAUGCAUCACAUGAUUCCAAUUUCUUCCAGCGCAGAGCAGCUUGCCCCCCACCAGAUCCAUGA